CGCGGUCUCCGGGGCUGCCCUCGGGCCUGGCUCGCCCGAGGGCGGGCGGCUACGGGCCCCUGCUGCCGAACGGUGGCCGUCCGCUUCCCCCGGCCUCUCUCCGCGGGCUCUACCGCGCCGCGCGCUCCUCUCCCGGGGGUUUCAGUUGCCAGUGCCAAAAGGCAGUCAGGAAGCAGAUCGUCCUGAUUUAUGGCCAGAAGGUCAAUAGCCUAAGGCUAUCUCACAAUGCCUCUGUCAGUCACUUCUCUUCAUCUCAUCGCGUAGGCAGUAUCUAUUUCAUCUCACAUCAUCGCAGGAAGGAAAAGAAAGUCGCUAUGAUGCAGUACCCUGGUUUACUGACAGUUCAAUGAGCUUUCUGCUGUAUUGCUAGUCUGUUCACACUGUCUCCAUCACAGGCUGGUCUCAAAGUAUGGUCGCAGGCAUCAGCAGGGUCAUCACCUGGGAAACUUUUAAAAAUGCAGAUUCUCACACCCUACCACAGACUGACUGAAUCAGAACUGGAAGCAUUUUAAGAUUUCCAAGUAAUUUCGAUGCAAGUUAAAGUCUGAGAACCACUGGUCUAGUAACCCAUUGGGCAUGGACCAGCAAGACUUGUGAGAGUGGAAGGGAAGAGAAAGAGCAAUGGAUCCUACAAGCCAGUACAGUUAGCCCCACAGUGUUCGAGGAAGCAGAGGAACACCUGCAAAGAGGGAUGACAGAGUUGCAGAGGCUUUUGGCAACUCUGUGUUGUGGACACUAACCCCCAAAUUCACUCUACGUCAGCUUGGCUAUGGUACCAUGAUCUUCACACUGGAAACACAGACUCAGUCUUCAAUUCAUGCUACUCUAGAGAGGGAGCCGUCCAGGGAAGGUGUGAGUUUGUAAGCCCGAUCCAAUCCGUGUUUCAUCUUAUGGACAAGAAAGCCGAUGAGUUUUGAACCUGGGGUAGAGAGGAGGCAAUGAGGGAUGGAGAUCCUGAACAGAGAGGACAGGCAGUGUGAUGGCCUCUCCAUCGGUCUGUGGCCUUGUGUCCUAACCAUGCUGAUAGAGAAGAACAGAAAAUGGCCUCUGCAUGAGCCCCCUGUACCUACCCCUCCGGACGCAUACUUCUAUGGUCAGACUACAGACACCCCAAGUGUCCUCUGUGCCCCCACAAGUGGCAUACGAGCAGUAGCCAGUAGCCUCAGUUUUAAAGGCUGGAGCGUGGCACAAUGAGGCUAGGCUCAGAAGAACCAUGUUACAGUAUGACUUUGCCAUGGACCAUCCGUGUGAAGCUGAGUGAGUUGCUUGAGGACGCCGAGCCUGCCAGUUGGGAAUGAUAACGGCCAUAUACCUAUUUCAUGGGACUGAUGUAAAAGGACAGGCGUGAAGCUUUCCAUUUAAAAGCCUUUGUAACUUGAUGUGCUCUGUAUCUGGAAAUGGCUGGAAGGAGAGUCCAGGUCACUUCCCCCUGGGGUGUGCCAGGCGGGUCUAGCAAUGGGCAACAGCGCCUGAGCUCCCUGAUGAACACACCUCCCUUACCCCAGUAAUCUGACUUUGGGAUCUGCAACUCCAUAUUGAUUGCUUCCAGUCAAGAGUGAUGUGAGACCGGAAGCCAACCAGCUCCAACAAAGUCUUGGUGAGCUUGAAAUGAGCCAGUUUCCUCUGGAUGAGUUUCUUCUGCUGAAUCACGGAAAUGGAGGCUGCCCAGGCCAACGAAAACCAAAUCUGUCUGCCCUGUCUUGUCAGACACCUCCGCCUUCCCCACCAACUGGACGCUGAAGCCCCCAGCCCUCGCUAAUGUUCCACACCACCCCCCUCACUGUGGGAGCUGGCCAGCACUGGCAAAAGGGGAGCAUCAGUAAUUUUCUCCAAAGGAGCUUGUGCCUAGAGAAACCAAUAUUUAACAUCCCCAUUUACAUUGAAAGCGUGAUUCUGAUUAUGAGAUGGUAAUGAGGGGAUUAGCCAGAGAGAGCCCCCCUGCCUGCCGCCCCCUCCCAUUCUUCUCUCCUUCACCCUGCUCCUUGGGCUUACUCCUGGAGGAGGAGGUGUGGGGGGAGGGUGCGGGCACUCCCACUGGGAGAGCAUCAGAGAUGCCAGAGCAGGGCAGGGGUCCUCCAAGACCCCAUCUGAAGACCCCUUAUUCAUGUCUGGAAUCAAUUAGCCUUAGAAGAGGUGAUGGGUGAGAUGUGAGACACCUGACUCUGAGGGCCCUUCCUUUCAUUCUUUUCCCUAGACUCUGCUGAGACCCUCUACUCUCUGGUUCUGUUCCAUAUUUCAGAUGGGGGAACUUCUUAGGUCACGCUUUCCCUCGAGGUAGAGGAGUGAAGUACAAAAGUCUGUUGGGAGAACUUUUGCUUGGUUCCUGGCUUCUCUGACUUCAUCCCAAACCCAGCCUCCUCCCCUAAAUUGCCUGCCUCUCUGGACCGGCAUCCUUGUUGUCCUUGUCCCAGACCCUGCCUUUUAACCAGGCAGCAGUUUAUCUCUGGCUCUUCUUGUGGGGUGAGGGGUGGGGGAAGGAGAGAACCCAAGGGGGUCACCCAUCCUGAGGCCCCGUUUGUUGGUGCACAAUUGCGCUCAGACAGGAUAAUUCAGUGUGUGAUUGUGGUCACGCCCCCCCUUUUGUGCCCCUUUCAGAGCCAAUCUCCCAGGCCCAGAUGGGUUAAUCCAUAAUGCAGACGAGCAAGUAAUUGGCUGUCAGCCCAGCCCCCUGCACCCCCUCCCCUAUUAGUGCCACUGCCCUAAUGAAGCCCAGCUUGGAGAGCCCCCUUCUCAAUGAGGCGCCAGCCCCAACCCAGCCAGGCACACAUGUGUCUCCGCUCCUCUGCCUGAAGCCUGGCUCCCUUUAGGGACCCCCAGCCCAGCCUCCCCGGGGUGACCCAGCUGCCAGGGCUGCAGCGGCCCCGGGGGGAGGCUGUGAUGGAUGGGAGGGAGUUAGUUAAUAGAGCCCAAAACACAUGGGCCCUGUCCCCACACCGACCCUCCCCCCUCACACACACACUUUUACAGCUUCCUCUGACAGCAGCCCUAGCCUUUUGAAAUAGUCCCAUAGAAUAUUUCCUCACUCCCCUCUCCAACCUAAGCUGUGCCAAAAUAGGGCCCAAAAGGGGGUCAUGAAGCUGCUUCUUUGGACACUGGCCCAAGUCAUUGCUGUUCACACUAUCCCCAACCUCUGCCAAUCUAGGUCUUCUUGUGGGUUUUGGGCAGAGAUGGCUCAUGGCAAUGUUAAAAAGGGGAACUUGGCCCUCAGUCUCCAGUGUCUCAACUGUUAUUAAAAUCAUAACGAGAGACUUCUUUUCCUCUGAUUCUUGGAUUCCAUCUCUGUUCCUUGAUCCCAUUUCUCUUCCGAACCACUUCCUGACCAAUACUUCAGCUAGAGACAAAGCUAGGUCUGUAGCAGAUAUCCACAGACAAGAGCUGUUCUCUUUGUUGGAGCUGCCUCAUCAUGGACUAGGCUUCCCUGCCAGCCUUUAAGCUCCCUGUCUCUGGAAGGAUUCAAGCCAAGGCUGGAUAAGGUCUGUUUGAAAUGUCAUAGAGGGAGGUUUGGGGAGGAUAUUUGCAAAGGGACCUACCACUCUUGGAUUCCUUGCAUUUAUGUCCUAUUCCCUCAUCUCUGUUCGCUCCUUUCCCCCAUGAAGAGAGUGGUGGCUUUGCUGGGCCUUUUUCCAAACCAGUGGAGGAAAGUUGAGAUUGGCUGCUGCCUGGGUUGGGCUGCUCCUACAUUCAUGCCCACUGAAGCAGGGGCUUUAUGUCCUGAGGAGAGUCCUGGACCCAUAACCUCCCUGUCUUCCUUCCUCUACUUAACACUUUAAAAAUGAUAAUUUUAGGGGCACCUGGGUAGCUCAGUCAGUAGGCGUCCGAAUUUGGCUCAGGUCACGAUCUCAUGGCUUGUGGGUUCGAG